UCACGCGGUACGCCGAGCCCUGCCGCCGCACGAGGUCCAGAACGACAGACGGCAGGGACGGGGGACCCAGGUGUGACCGGGGUCCGGGCAACCGGACUCCUUGGGGUGAAGUCCCGGGUGCGGACGUACCGCACACGGGGCCGGGCGAAUCCACAGUCCGAACCCGACAGCUCACCUCGCAGGCGUGUGGAGAGGCUUG
rnacentral:sRNA from 2 species